rnacentral:SRP_RNA from 1 species
CCGUGCAGCCGGGAGAGCAGCGGCCUCCUGUACCUGAAAUCCGCUAUAGCAGGGGUGAUGUCCGGCCGAGGGCCAGCGCCUUUAUGGCUGCCCUCUAUAAGUGGCGUUGAAGUUUGGGUCUCACGCAACGGAUGUCUGUGAACCGUGUCAGGUUGGGAACAAAGCAGCACUAAGCAGAAUUUUUCGUGUGCCGUGAGGGUGCCUGGCGGAGUUAACUGUAGAGGUAACGCAUAGGGGCAUAAGGUUCGAAGCAGGACGCACGG